UACGUAGGCAGCGAGCGUUGUUCGGAAUUACUGGGCGUAAAGAGCUCGUAGGCGGUCUGUCGCGUCGGCUGUGAAAACUCGGGGCUCAACCCCGAGCCUGCAGUCGAUACGGGCAGACUAGAGUGCGGUAGGGGAGACUGGAAUUCCUGGUGUAGCGGUGAAAUGCGCAGAUAUCAGGAGGAACACCGGUGGCGAAGGCGGGUCUCUGGGCCGUAACUGACGCUGAGGAGCGAAAGCGUGGGGAGCAAACAGG
rnacentral:rRNA from 1 species